CAUCAACAACAACAACAACAACAAACCCAGUGUAUUCCCACUUAGUGGGGUCUGGGGGGGGUAAGAUGUACGCAGUCCAUACCUCUACCUCUGAUGAAGUAGAAAGGCUGUUUCCGAAAGACCCCCGGCUCAAGUUACGAGAUAUCAAACAAACACAUAGUACAGCACAGAAGCAGAUGACAUAACAUAGAUACUGCAGCCAUAAGGAAUAUAAAACAGAGUAAAGCAGGAAAGCAGGAAUAUAAAGCAGAGGAAAGCACACAGAUUCGUAACAAACAUGGAACACGGAACACGGAACAGAACAUUGAAUACGGAAUCAUACCCGGAAUACACCCCCACCAAUUACCUCCCUACAUUAGCGACCCGAACAGGCCCUAAUCCUCUGCCGUAAUUCGCGUCUUCCAGACCUUCCUAUCUAGGGUCAUGUCAUAAAGCUUUAAGUUAAUUUUCUAAACAAACAUCGAACUUUGCAAUCAUAUGAUUAACUUAAGCCUAACAAACAAUAACUCCAUUACGGAGCAAAUCUUCACCAUAGGUUUUGGCUAAAAAGAUGUACUCAAUCAUAUAACAAAUAGGACCAAGCAUUCCAACUCUUAUUAAGGGAUCACUUUAUGGUAAGGGAACUUGAUUAUAUUGAAGGUUUAAUCAAUUUAAGAACUCUUAGUAAGCUAUACGUAUUUGCAUAAAAACAUGAUUACUUUAUAGUAAGAACAGUUUAUGGUAUAGAAGUAUAUAACAACAACAACAUACCAGUGUAUUCCCACAUAGUGGGGUUUGGGGAGAGUAGAGUGUACACAGACCAUACCACUACCUCAGGUGAAGUAGGUGAAGUAGAGAGGCUGUUUCCGAUAGACCCUCGGCUUAGGACCGAUAACAGUAUAGCGAUCACAAACAUAAAUGUGUACAGUAUGCAAAAUAAACUAACCUUGCUAUCUACAAGAUAAUACUACAGCCACAAAAUAAUACUAAAAACUAUAUAUCCGAUAUCAUAGACAUUACUCAACACUACGAACAAGAAACUUCAAACACCAAUAAAGAACGCUCGCCUACUGUAACCGGUGCACUCUCACCCCCUAACCCUCUACCCUAAUCCGCAUCCUCCACUUACCUUCCUAUUAAAGGUCAUGACCUCCGUAAGCUGUAACUG
rnacentral:lncRNA from 1 species